AUUGAACGCUGGCGGCAGGCCUAACACAUGCAAGUCGAGCGGAGCGGCGGACGGGGGAGUAAUGCCUAGGAAUCUGCCUGGUAGCGGGGGAUAACGUCCGGAAACGGGCGCUAAUACCGCAUACUAUCAGAUGAGCCUAGGGCGGAUUAGCUAGUUGGUGGGGUAAAGGCCUACCAAGGCGACGAUCCGUAACUGGUCUGAGAGGAGGAUCGUUCACACUGGAACUGAGACACGGUCCAGACUCCUACGGGAGGCAGCAGUGGGGAAUAUUGGACAAUGGGCGAAAGCCUGAUCCAGCCAUGCCGCGUGUGUGAAGAAGGGCUUCGGAUUGUAAAGAACUUUAGUUUGGGAGGCGUUACCAACAGAAUAAGCACCGGCUAACUCCGUGCCAGCAGCCGCGGUAAUUC
rnacentral:rRNA from 1 species